CACAAUGCUGUUGGUUAAAUUAAUGGACAAAGACUUUGAGGCAGAUGCGAAAAAUAACUCCUCUUUUACAACCCAGAAUUCAUUGUUCGGUGUGAGUUUUGAUAGAGAUAAGAAGGAACACG